rnacentral:rRNA from 1 species
UGAGGAAUAUUGGUCAAUGGACGGAAGUCUGAACCAGCCAAGUAGCGUGCAGGAUGACGGCCCUCCGGGUUGUAAACUGCUUUUAGUUGGGAAUAAAAAAAGGGACGUGUCCCUUAUUGUAUGUACCUUCAGAAAAAGGACCGGCUAAUUCCGUGCCAGCAGCCGCGGUAAUACGGAAGGUCCAGGCGUUAUCCGGAUUUAUUGGGUUUAAAGGGAGCGUAGGCGGAUUGUUAAGUCAGCGGUUAAAGGGUGUGGCUCAACCAUACAUUGCCGUUGAAACUGGCGAUCUUGAGUGCAGACAGGGAUGCCGGAAUUCGUGGUGUAGCGGUGAAAUGCUUAGAUAUCACGAAGAACUCCGAUCGCGAAGGCAGGUGUCCGGGCUGCAACUGACGCUGAGGCUCGAAAGUGUGGGUAUCAAACAGGAUUAGAUACCCUGGUAGUCCACACAGUAAACGAUGUAUACUCGCGGUUUGCGAUAGACAGUAAGCCGCCAAGCGAAAGCAUUAAGUAUACCACCUGGGGAGUACGCCGGCAACGGUG